rnacentral:rRNA from 1 species
ACAUGCAAGUCGAGCGGAAAGGCCCUUCGGGGUACUCGAGCGGCGAACGGGUGAGUAACACGUGAGCAACCUGCCCCUGACUCUGGGAUAAGCCCGGGAAACUGGGUCUAAUACCGGAUAUGACCGCCCCUGGCAUCGGGUGGUGGUGGAAAGUUUUUCGGUUGGGGAUGGGCUCGCGGCCUAUCAGCUUGUUGGUGGGGUAGUGGCCUACCAAGGCGACGACGGGUAGCCGGCCUGAGAGGGCGACCGGCCACACUGGGACUGAGACACGGCCCAGACUCCUACGGGAGGCAGCAGUGGGGAAUAUUGCGCAAUGGGCGGAAGCCUGACGCAGCGACGCCGCGUGGGGGAUGACGGCCUUCGGGUUGUAAACCUCUUUCAGCAGGGACGAAGUUGACGUGUACCUGCAGAAGAAGCGCCGGCUAACUACGUGCCAGCAGCCGCGGUAAUACGUAGGGCGCAAGCGUUGUCCGGAAUUAUUGGGCGUAAAGAGCUCGUAGGUGGCUGGUCGCGUCUGCCGUGAAAGCCCGCAGCUUAACUGCGGGUCUGCGGUGGAUACGGGCCGGCUAGAGGUAGGUAGGGGCAAGUGGAAUUCCUGGUGUAGCGGUGAAAUGCGCAGAUAUCAGGAGGAACACCGGUGGCGAAGGCGGCUUGCUGGGCCUUACCUGACGCUGAGGAGCUAAAGCGUGGGGAGCGAACAGGAUUAGAUACCCUGGUAGUCCACGCUGUUAACGUUGGGCGCUAGGUGUGGGACCCUUCCACGGUUUCCGUGCCGUAGCUA